UGCAACUGGCUUCCAUUGCUUAAUGUCUAUGUGACUUUAGAACCACUGCCGGAAAAGGUUGUCGAAGGUGUACAUAAUCACCACAACAGCCCGGUUUUGUUUGGUCAUGGCUAUGAAACAUCCCAGGAGGGCUAUGAAACAUCUUAGGAAGGUGCCUAUAUCCUGGUCCGACCAGGUCCUGGGAUGUUUCAUAGCCAUGACUAAGCAGGACCAGACUGUUGUGGUUAUGUCCACUUCUGAUGACAUUUUUUUGGCAGUGGUUUCAAAGUUACAUAGACGUUGAGCAGUGAAAGCCAGUUGUUGU
rnacentral:pre_miRNA from 1 species